GGAAGUGUGCCUGAAAGUUAAGGAUCUCCUU
rnacentral:tRNA from 1 species